CAGAGGGACUGGGAGGACACCCAAAGGGGAGCUGAGUGAGGAGACACAGAGCUGCCAGGAGAACGUCUCCUUUACUGUCCCCUAUCCUUUCGGUAUUUGAUUUGAAGAUAUUUUUACAGAUGAAUUUUUGUAUAAAACCAUACAUUGGUUCUUCAAUCUUUUAGGUUUUCAACUUUCAUCAGGUGAUAAUAAGAUUAAGCAGCAGUUGUCAUCCCAAAAGAUCUUCUGAUUAGAAGCCUUUUGAGUCCAGAAAAUAACCAUUUUGGAUACGUGACUGUCGAGCACAGCCCUGCUCAUUUAUGCAACAAGUGGACAAUAUUUUGAUAACUUACCAUGCUGCACAGAUUUCUGAGACAUCAGGACUCAAGGGCCUAAGACCACUCUCUGUCCCUCAUCCUGUUGUCACGGAGAGGUUCUGCCUCUCUUCCUUGAUGAAGACAGGAGCCUGGCUGGACACAGCUGGCACCCGCAUGUUCCUGGACACAGCUCUUGGAUCUUCCCAAUUCUUGAAGACGCCUGCAAAACUCAUAAGAACAGAAAAUGUAAAGAGAUUUUCUGAAUUACUGAGUCCCAUCCUACGGUGCUAAAAGCAACUCUACAGAAUCCCUUUGAUAAAUGUCUCAAGCUCCAGCAAAACCACACGGACAAGAUGAUUAAAGAAGCUCUAACACAUAAGAGACAGCUUGAAGCAGCAGCAAAACCCUAGGUCUGGAUCUUUCUGCUAGAUGAAGGCUGAUUCUUGAUGGAAUCUGGCUCUUCAACCUUACUGGAGGGCAGCAGAAGAACAACAUGGCAUACCCUAGAGCUGCAGUGAGGAUCUGGUUUUGUAAGGCCCAGAACAACACCAUCAGGAACACUAUCAGGAACCAAGGUAUAAGCCAAGCAAGAAGACUAAAGAGUGUUUCAACAAACCCUGUGGCGUACUGUUCUGAAGAUGAGCUAUGAUGACAGUUAGGCUGAGGAAGGGAAAACAUUUUCUUCUAAUUUUCAGAGCAGCCACAGAACUGUUCCACUGUUACUGCAGACAAUGAUCAAUAUACUUGCAUAACAAAGAGGUAUUAAAAGGAAAGAGAGGAUGCCUCAUUUUCCACUUUGGUUCUUCUCCUACACAGCCUUGAAAAGGACACUAAUACUUUUCAGUCUUUCAGGCCAUUAAGGAACUGUAGAUAAGCUCAGGAAGACCUGUAAAUGAUUUCAACUUAUUUCACAUCAGUAUCUGACACCAAGAUACUCAAAAUAAAAUUCUACAUCCAAAGCAAAAUUAAUGAUAUAUUUUGCUGAGCAAAACAGAAGAGCACAAAUUAAUUUCCUUCAUCCUCAAGUAAACAAUUUACAGCUGAAAAGGAGGUCUAGAGAAGACACAAGAAACAAAGAUUCAAGUAACAGGCGCUACAAGUGAAGAAAAAGUUCUAGCUGGCACACACGUCAGCAUUUGUGCAAGAAAUGAAAGAACAUAUUGUCCUACUGCAUGGGUUCUCAGGCUUCAGUCUGCUCACUCUAGCGGCAAGGAUGCUCUUCUGCUGGCCGGCCCUCAAAUGGAGGAUUCUUCUACUGACACAACAGUUCCAUACUUAUAAGGAGUUAGCAGAGGCUUUACUAAUUAAAAUCAAACUUAAUUGUCAACUUUCAAACUCAGUCAUCAACUUUGCAACAUCUGUGGCUGCUUCAUGUCCUCCUGUGACUGAAAAUCAUAGGAUAUACAUUCAAGACAGAGAAAAAAGACAUGAUAGACUUCAGAUCCUCUUUAUUCCAGGCUGUUACCCACCUGAAACGAAUGACAUAAAAUCUCAGUGAAAGGAAAUACAGCGACUGGACUUGAAAUGAGCUGUAACUUGAUGAUCCAGUUCCCUUCAGAGCAGGCUGGGAUUCCCAAAUGCUUCAUGGUUCAGUACACAGACAGAAGUGAAGGAACUUCUUCUGAGUAAAAUAGCUAAUAUGUUAAUUGUCAUUGAUUCAGUAAUAAUUUAAACCCAAAUCUCUUAAAUGAGGUCUAUGUAGAAAAAAAUAAUGUGGCUUACUGAAAAAGAGAACUUGUACCUUCACAGUUCAAAAACCAUUUUCAACCACAAUGAGAGUUCCCUUUUUUGGUUACCACAAGUGGUUUCGCAGUAAGUGGACUGGUUUUCUACAGGCCCAGCCAGAAAGGGUGCUGAGGGAAAGGGAGCCUUUCCUUUUCUCUUUUGGUCUGUUCUUCUGCCGCCCUGUUAACAUACUCCGAGUGUGGUGACACUAAUCACACAUUCACAAUUGUGAUCUCCCCCAGCCAUGUUUAUGUGGUUGCUGCAGUGAUGUUUGUGCCUGUACCAUACUGUUUCACUUGCCAUUGAAGAUGAGAUUGAAGACAGAAGUUAGUUAGGAUUUAUUUUUCAUUUUUAAAUUUCAUUUCCCUUUAAUCUUGCUUGCUAUUCAGUGUAAUCAACUGUUGCCUCAUGUUAUAGAAAAUAAGAGAACCACACUGUAUGACCUGAGGGAAAAAAAUCAAGAUUUGAGAAACACAGUGCUGCUAAAACAAACAAACAAACAAACAAACCAUACAUAAAUCCCCGGAGAACUAAUUUAUUGCAUUCAGACUGUUCAGAAAUUCAAAAAAACUCUGAAAUAUACAACAAUUCGUGGCUCUAGGGAAAGAAAUAGAAACUCUUCCUUACCUUUUUUGCAUCAUUUUCUAUUGCAGAACAUUAUUUCUGAAAUCGGGUUAAUAUUUAAGGUCUGAAACUCAACAUAACUUUAGACUAGUUAUGGAAUGCAAUUUUCAGCCUGAAAAAAAAAUACUGAGAGUUGUAACAGUCCACAUUUAAAGACAAACUUCAGAGAGACAAAAUUUCUGUGAAAGAUAAGUCUGCCAAGGAUCAUCAAAUCUGUUUAUUAAAUAUGCAUCUAUAUUUCAAACCUGUAAAAUCACGCCACUUAUUUAUAUUGAUAUGAGUACGUCACUUCCAAUGUACUUGUUGUGAACUGGCAUCAUUGAGGAAUAGAAAAAUACAAAUUAGUAGCUGCUUCCCACAUGUUUAGAGGCAUCAGGAGUGGGCAACGCAGUUUGAAGCUUCGUACUACAGUAGAAAAUUCAGAGGAAAGCUUAGGAUAAACAAUGACAGCAAUUUCUCUAAGAGGUCAGAAAGAGCACUGCAAUUUCUUCAAAAUAUAGUCAGAUAAUUCUGGUUGGUGGUUUUGCUCAAUAGAAUUUUGCUUGAAAUUGGAUAUUUUAUGCAGGAAUAGCAGCUUUUUGCUGAUAUUACUGCAAAUGUAAAUACUAAAGGCAUAAAUCUAUUUCUCUUUGAGUCCCUCGUACUCAUCACCAGAUAGUGAUAUUUCCAUUUCACCUCAGGACUCACUGCUUUGCUGUGAUACAAAAACAGAAACAGCUUUUGCAUAAUUAAUGAAACACAAGAUCUGAAAAUAGUCCUUUUUUCUUCCCUUUCCUGUCUACCCCAUUAAAAAACCAAACAAAACCCAAACAAUAGAGCCUGAAAGUUGAAGGCCCUUAAGAAUAGCUACAAGCCAGCUGGUGUCAGAAGAACAGCAUGAAGCAAAAAGCAUCACAACUAAAAUCAGGACUCUGUUUGAAUGGAAGGAUCUACACCGUGAGGAACAAAUAGGAAAAGUUACCAGAAAUGAGGAAAAGAGCAACAAAUGCAGCGGGGCAGAGAUAUGAGGAGAGUACCAGUACUGGUGAAAUGUGCAUUAUAUUUUUAGCUAUUUACACUGUAACCACCAAGACAGGUACUUACAUUUCACUGAAACAGGCUCUGGCUAUAAAAUAAUUGUUAUGCAAGGGGAAAAAAAAAAGUGCUUUGUAAAGUGCUUCCAUGUGUUUUAUCUCUUUACAUACAUUUUCAACAAACGGAAUGCUGCCAAUAUUCCUUAGCUAAAAUAUUUCCCCUUCUACUAAAAUAUGCACAUACUUACAUAGUAAAGAAAUGAAGACUGAAGAACCUACAACUGAUAAAAAUGCUUUGAAAGUAUGGAUUCCUAUUGUUUGUUCUUUCUUUACAGUAAAGACCCAUGCCACUUCUGUGAAAGCUUCAUGCCGAGUCCUGUAUAUGCAUAUACAUUUUUUUUUUUGCUGAAAGAUUGGGAUUUUCCACUACUCAUUCUUCCUUCUGUUUUAGGACAUAGUUACAUGCUCUUUUAAGUAUGGGAAAAGGGGCUGCCAUCUGUUUCUGCCUGACCUUUUGGAAGAUAUGAAGUCAGCAGAGCUUCAUACAAAGAUUUGUGUUCACAGGUUUUCCCCUGGUGUUUCUCUAGUUCCCUUCCUCCUGUGCUUCUUCAGUUCUUCUAAUACAAAGCAUAUCAGCAUGGGGGUGUUGCUUUGUCUUCCAGAUGGACAAUUGAUUUAUCAGAGGAGGUAAAACCAACAUAUCACAGAAUUGUAGCUGUAGGAAGGGACCUCUGGGGAUCAUCGAGUCCAACCUUCUGCUAAAGCAAGUUCCCUCACAUUUGUAUGGUACUUCCCGUGUUCCACUUUGUGCCUAUUGCCCCUUGUCCAGGUUCUGCACAACACUGAAAAAAAGCCCCAUCCAUUUGACUCCCACGUUUCAGAUAUUUACAAAUAGUGAUGAGAUCCCCUCUUAGUCUUCUCUUCUCUGGGCUGAAUAGUUCCUGGUCUUUCAGCCUUUCCUCAUAUGGGAGAUGCUCCAGGCUCCUCCUCAUCUUCUCUCUCUAGAAGUUCCUUGUCAUUCUUGAGCUGAGGAGCCCAGAACUGGACACAGUACUCCAGAUGUGGCCUCACCAGGGCAGAGAGGGAGGAUCACCUCCCUCGACCUGCUGGCCACGCUCUUUUUAAUGCACCCCAGAAUCCCACUGGUGUUCACUUUUGUCCUCACGAAGCGUGAGCAUUUCUUCCACGCAGCCAAAGACAGCCUGGGCACACAGCAGCUGAGCUCAGUGUCUUUGAGCUUUGAAUGCCUUCAGCCUCCAUCUGUGCUGGAUACCGACACGUGGGGUGAAGCAGGGCGAGAGAGCUCUGCUGCCAGCAGGCACUGCCUGUAAGUAGUGUUUCUUCCCAGCUCUGCUGCCAACAGGCACUGCCUGUAAGUAGUGUUUCUUCCCAGCAGCUUCCCCUGGGAGCUCACAGUUCCCACUGCCGCUUGCAGUGUUUUACCUCCAGCUGCACGGCAGUGCGAUGGCUGACACCCAUUCCUCCGCGCCCCCCCCUGUGUGACUGUGCAAAGAGAGGGAAUUGCUUCUGCACAGCAAGAACGCAUCAUUAACCCCCAACGUAAGCGUGUGGUAAUGCAAUUGAUAAUUUGCAUGGUGAACCACAAAGAGACAUUCUCCUUCCAAUGACAAAAGGUCACAAAGGUUUUUGAGUUACAAAUUAAACCACGCUUGACUCAAAACUGGACAGGAGCUCAGCUCCCGAGGUGCCGCACCACACGAAGCCGGGCUGCCCCGAGUCUCCACUGUGCUGUCCAACUUCACUUAACGUUAACGGCGUUUGCUGAGGGCUCCUAGCAGAGACCUCCUUUCUCCCCCAAGUGAAUGCUCCGUGGCCCCGCUCGUGCUUUACAGACCCGGGGCUGAGAGCUUUGCAGCCAGCGAGGGGCCCGGCCGGCUGACCCCGCGGCCUCAGGAGCACCGCAUCCCACUGUGUCUCUUCCUCAUUCCUGGCUCCUUCCUCUUCCUCCUGUCGCACUCCCCACCCCGCCGCAGCCGCCGGGCCGGCCGGGCAGGUAUUGAGGGCAGGGCUGGGCGGCUCUCCCCGACAGCUGGCGGGGCGAGGAGGGGCGGGAGCGGAAGGC
ensembl:lncRNA